CCUACGGGAGGCAGCAGUGGGGAAUAUUGGACAAUGGGGGAAACCCUGAUCCAGCGACGCCGCGUGAGUGAAGAAGUAUUUCGGUACGUAAAGCUCUAUCAGCAGGAAAGAAAAUGACGGUACCUGACUAAUAAGCCCCGGCUAACUACGUGCCAGCAGCCGCGGUAAUACGUAGGGGGCAAGCGUUAUCCGGAUUUACUGGGGGUAAAGGGAGCGUAGACGGCAGCGCAAGUCUGGAGUGAAAUGCCGGGGCUCAAACCUGGAACUGCUCUGGAAACUGGGAAGCUGGAGUGCAGAAGAGGUAAGCGGAAUUCCAUGUGUAGCGGUGAAAUGCGUAGAUAGCAGGAGGAACACCGGCGGCGAAGGCGGCUUACUGGACUGUAACUGACGUUGAGGCUCGAAGGCGUGGGGAGCAAACAGGAUUAGAUACCCGGGUAGUC
rnacentral:rRNA from 1 species